UACGUAGGGUGCAAGCGUUAUCCGGAAUUAUUGGGCGUAAAGAGCUCGUAGGCGGUUUGUCGCGUCUGCUGUGAAAACUGGGGGCUCAACCCCCAGCCUGCAGUGGGUACGGGCAGACUAGAGUGCGGUAGGGGAGAGUUGGAAUUCCUGGUGUAGCGGUGGAAUGCGCAGAUAUCAGGAGGAACACCGAUGGCGAAGGCAGAUCUCUGGGCCGUAACUGACGCUGAGGAGCGAAAGCAUGGGGAGCGAACAGG
rnacentral:rRNA from 1 species